ACCCCGCGUGAGUGAGGUGUGGCUCAGCUCUGAAUUGCAACCGGCUGACGUACAGUAGCGUUUACACUGUCUAGAGAGCAACUGAGAAGGAAGUUCUGUGUUUGCAGAGGCCCAAAGAGAGAUCCCGGCAUUAGUACUCCAUAUCUGAGAACCCGAGGCUGAGGACAUUGUAAUUCUAGAAGCUCAGUUUAGCAGCCGGCCUGCAGGUGUGGAAGGCUUCUAUAUGUGUAUCCUGUUCACAUCUCUCCUCGAGCUCCGAACCCACGUAUACAACCCCCAAGUUUACUUGGAUAUCUGGAUAUGGCAGCCUCAGGCAGCUGCUGCUCCUCCAGCCAGAGCCCUGGAUGAAGAGAUGUGUGGAGCCCCCUGAACCUGCCACUUAGAACAAAACUGCUGCAGCCCAUCCGUGCAGACAUAAGUGAGAUGGGGAUGAAGUCCCAAGACGGUGACAGUCCUCUGUGAGUGACAGCUGUGGUGUAUUCCACAAGACAGUGCUCAUAGAUUUGGUUGCCAUUAAUGAACAUUCCAAUGGAUUUUUUUAUACUUCCAUUAAAGAAACAGAAUGGUGAACUUAUAUUACAAUUAUGUAGAUAAUUUCAUAAAUGUUCUUUCCUGUAGUCGGCCAAUAUUUAUCAAAUGCUCUUUUUUGCCCGGUGUUAUUUUAGGCCGUGAGCAUCUAACCAGGAAAGGCAGGCAGGUCAGCACUUGUAGUUGGUAGCCCAGGAGGCGGGAGAUGCCCCACUGGCGCCCUGGUUUCCUCCGGGACGAACAAACAAUACCGAGUUGGGAGACUACCGUGGGGUAACAAAUAUAUACGUAAAGCUUAUAAACCCUGGGCUUCGUUUGCAAAAAACCAGACUUGCUUAACUUUUAAUGACUUUCUAAUCAUUACCUUCUCUUUCUUCUCUUCUCCCCAGUCACAAAGUGAGGUCUGUGGUUCCAUAAAAGGAAGGAGAAAACCAAAACUCUACAAGUGGCUAUGAGAGGCUCCCACGGCCAUGGGGAAGUUAAUAACCUGGCCAGACUGUGGGGAACAAGUGGAGGCCAGGAAACAGUUAGGGCCUCUGGAGGAAGUUCUGAAGCAGAACUUCCUGAGGCAGCAGGCGGGUCUGCGGUGUCCCUGUAACCAAGCCGGUGGCUUGCAAAGCUCUACCCCUGGUGCAGAGCAUCCUCCUCUUGGUAACAGAUCUCUCACCCCAGGGCAAGAUGGCAGCAGGAGGCAGUAUGGCAGUAGGCACAGGCCAGGCUAGCAAGAUA